AUUAUUACAUAAUCGGUGUGAUUUAUGCAGUUGUUUUCUUUAAAAGGGAUUGUGUCUCCAGAGAAGUUGAAUCAGUAAUAAGAUCUUGUCUUUUGAAGUAUUUGUUUUGAAUAAAUGACUAUAAAUCCAUUGACAAAAGUGAACAAGAGCAAGGUCUGUAUGAUUUCCAUUAAAUCAUUUCAUGGUGGUACUAUUUGGACUGAACCCGGCACCAUCCAUUUUAAAAGAGAGAAGUGGAAUGGGGAGGCCAGGGGAGGGGAGACCAGCUGCGUGACAUUACCUGACUGCACAGUAGAUUACAGAUUUGUUUAUACAGUAAACAGGUGACACACAUGCAUGCACUCACACAAACACAAUCACACACAAUCACUCACAAUCACACACACACAUGACAGGAUUGUUGACUAUAUACACACAGCUCAGUCAUGGCAUUACAGGACAACAACUUCAGCUGUCCCCCAACCACACAGGAUGUUGUACAAGUCAGCAGAAAUGGUUGGUUGAGACAAUAACAACAUACAAUACAGGGUAUUCUCAGCCUUGUCUCAUCACUGUGUAUUCACAACUGUCUGUGGAGUGCUCUGGGGGUGCCCUACUCACAGGACAAAACAUGAAAGACACAAUCACUGAGUUCUUAUCACAGAGCAGCAAUCUUACAAACAUCUGUUGUAUAGUAACGAGCAUGCAGCAGACUUACAGUAGCUGAGUUCUUCUUAUCAUAAAGCGCAGAUCAUAUAAACCUCUCUACCUACAAUAAAAUGUACUAUACACACUCAGCUAGCUUUUUCUCUCUGAUAUUCUACAGCGAGACUCUCCUGACCUCAAAUAAGUUAUUGCUGUCGUGCCAACCAAUGGUAGGCUUUGGUUGAAGCUCAAUGUUAAAUUCAAAUCUCUCUACCAUCAUAUCUAAGCCAAUAUGACACCAAUGACGAUGAAAAUUCACAAAUCCUAGACGGCCAGCAUCCCGGAGUCACCUCUUCACUGUUGAUGUUGAGACUAGUGUUUUGCGGGUACUAUUUAAUUAAGCUGCCAUUUGAGGACUUGUGAGGCGUCUAUUUCUCAAACUGGACACUCUAAUGUACUUGUCCUCUUGCUCAGCUGUGCACCAGGGCCUCCCACUCUUCUUUCUAUACUGGUUAGAGCCAGUUUGCGCUGUUCUGUGAAGGGAGUAGUACACAGCGUUGUACCAGAUCUUCAGUUUCUUGGCAAUUUCUCGCAUGGAAUAGCCUUCAUUUCUCAGAACAAGAAUAGUCUGAUGAGUUUCAGAAGAAAGGUCUUUGUUUCUGGCCAUUUUGAACCUGUAAUCGAACCCACAAAUGCUGAUGCUCUAGAUACUCAACUAGUCUGAUGAAGGACAGUUUUAUUGCUUCUUUAAACAGUACACGUUUUCAGCUGUGCUAACAUAAUUGCAAAAGGGUUUUCCAAUGAGCAAUCAGCCUUUUAAAAUUAUAAACUAGAAUUAGCUAACACAACGUGCCAUUGGAACACAGGAGUGAUGGUUGCUGAUAAUGGGCCUCUGUAUGCCUAUGUAGAUAUUCCAUAAAAAUCUGCCGUUUCCAGCUACAAUAGUCAUUUACAACAUUAACAAUGUCUACCCUGUAUUUCUGAUCAAUUUGACAUUAUUUUAAAUGGACAAAAAAUGUCCUUUCUUUCAAAACAAAAGGACAUUUCUAAGUGACCCCAAACUUUUGAACGGUAGUGUAUAUAUAUAUACAUAUAUUGUGGCAGACGGCAGGGAGAGGUGAGGGGAGUGGUUAUUGAAGGGAGAUAUCUUGCAGCCCGCUGGCUCCACCCCCGAGCCUUAUAUGGACUUCCUGCCCCAACGAGGCGAGCCUGUGGGUCAUUAAGCAAAGGACUGGGGGAUAAAAGAUGAAGCGGCCUGCACAAAGGGGCAGAGAACGGAGAGGGAAGAGUGUGUUAUGAAGAGUGUGUUAUGAAGAGUGUGUUAUGAAGAGUGUGUUAUGAAGAGUGCGUUAUGAAGAGUGCGUUAUGAAGAGUGUGUUAUGAAGAGUGUGUUAUGAAGAGUGUGUGGGAAGAGAGUGUGUGAGAAGAGAGUGUGUGUGAGAGAGAGAGAGAGAUCUGUGUGAUUACACGUUGUGACCUGGACUGUCUGACUACCCCCACUGUGUACAGAACAGACAACAAGAACAGAUUGUGGACUGUGAAAUGGUUGGUGAAUUCCCCCUUUUCCCCAGUGUGCAAAACUCCCGAAUAAACUCCCCAUUUGCUUUCUAGUUGUGCUCCUUGUGCGUGUUUGGUUAUUGAACUUGGUGAACUUGGAAACCCCACACCCUUGAACCUGUUACAUGUGGUGGAGAAUGCGGGCAACCCAAACCAAGUUCAAUAACUAAACAGACACAGAGCACAAUGGAAGCAUUGGUGAAACAGCUGGUGGAGGUGAACAAAUCCCAGCAGGCUAUGCAUCAGGAGCUGCUGGAGGAACACCGUCAGCAGAUUGCUCUCCUGCGAGCUGAACUCUGCCAGCUGACAUCCGCCCAGGCCGGCAUGGUGGCAGGCGCAGCAGUCUCUCUGAAGCUAAAAGAGGCUGACGACAUCGAGGCUUACUUCCCAAGCCUUCGAGAGGAUGGCGGCUAGGGAGAAAUGGCCCCAUAAGCAAUGGGCCAGCCUGCUAGCAACCUUCCUGUCAGGCGCGGCACAGAAGACCUAUCAGGAUCUGACGGCUGACCACGAGGGGCUGAAAAGGAAAUCCUGCGCUGGACCUGAGCCCUAGGACCAUGCCUCAGGACUACCUGACAUGAUGACUCCUUGCUGUCCCCAGUUCACCUGGCCGUGCUGCUGCUCCAGUUUCAACUGUUCUGCCUGCGGCUAUGGAACCCUGACCUGUCCCCCUGGAAGUGCUACCUGUCCCAGACCUGCUGUUUUCAACUCUCUAGAGACAGCAGGAGCAGUAGAGAUACUCUCAAUGAUCGGCUAUGAAAAGCCAACUGACAUUUACUCUUGAGGUGCUGACUUGUUGCACCCUCGACAACUACUGUG
rnacentral:lncRNA from 1 species